rnacentral:lncRNA from 1 species
GUGUCACCUCCGUUCUCCUUCACGAUGUCCCCGUGUGUCACCUCUGCUCCCCUUUAUGUUGUCCCCCCAUGUCACCUCACCUCCAUUCCUCCUGAUGUCCCCCCGUGUCACCUCCCCUCUCCUGUCACUGCGUGACCCCCCGAUGUCCCCACACGUCCCCUCCUGACCCCCCGAUGUCCCCACAGUUGUGUGUUACAACGGUGGCACCCACGACGGCAUCAAAUGCCUCUGCCUCUCCAACUUCUAUGGGCCGCAGUGCGAGUUCCCCAUCGACACCAUCGACACCUCCCUCUCGUCCUCCAGCACCACGGUGGCUGCGGCGGAUCUGGACGUCACCAUCACCAACUUCAACUACACCGAGGAGUUGGAGGACCAACAGUCGGAAGCGUUCCUCGAGUUUGGGGAGCACUUCCAGAAGGAGAUCGGGAAAAUCUACGGCAGCGUCCCCAGCUACAAGGGGGUGAAGAUCCUCGACGUCGGGAUCGGCGUCGUCGUGACCCACCGGGUCGUCAUCACCACCAGCGCCGACGGCCCCAAUGUCACCGCCGAGAUUUUUGGGGUCACCGAAGCCCUGGUGGAGAAACUCCGCCAGACCGAGAGCAGCCAGGGGAACUGCCAGCAAAACGCCUCUCGCAGCCCCCCACUGGCGGCACCCAUUGGUACGAGUUGGACGCCGACUUCUGGGAGUCACCCGACGGCUUCGUCUACAGCAACAGCACCGCAGGUGGGGGCAGCGCCCCAUAAAAACCCAUCAGACCCCAUAAAAACCCAUCAGACCCCAUAA